rnacentral:piRNA from 1 species
UGUAGAACUUGGAUGUGUUCC